AUUUUUACUGCUUUUAUGUCCUCCAGACUUUCAGUCUCUGCGUCAGAGUGCGGGCAGUCGGUAGAUGUUAAUCGGAGACACACAACGUAUUCCUUGAACAGCCCGACUUGUUUCACUCGGUGUAUGGUGAGGAGUGGAGAAA